CAGUGGAACUAGAAACAGGAAACCACAGAAGAGAAACUGUUUCUUUAUCUUGCUCCCUGGCAGUUAUUCCUGUUAUAACAGCGAGAGAGGGAGUGAGGCGGGUUUUGUCAGAUAAGCGGCAAGAGGUGCUUUGAGAGGUUGAGUACAAACUCCCUGAACAUUUAGAAUUCAUUUUGAGGAGAGAGAACAUUUCAGGACUAGUGAGAAAGGUCUGCUACCAUGCACUGCACCUGGUGUGCUUCUUCCAGGGGGAUGGGACAGAAAGCUUCGAUCUCUCCUUCCUUGCUAGCUCCCCCGAUAGACUCUUUGUUGUCAAGGCUGUCUGCUAAUCGUUCCAAGAGAAACAGAUAGAAGGACCCAAUCCAGGAUCCACAUUCAUUUCUCCUUAUUCAUCUCCAAUCUGGGAAAUACUCGGACUCUUUCAAGAAUUGUACCGGCCAGGUAUUUUGCAAAAUGUUCUUUAAUUUGAGUUUGUGUGAUGUUUCCUCAUAACUAAAAUCGGGGGAUGCAU